GCUGGAGCUUGUUGGUCGCUCUAGCACUGGUCUGAGUCGGGGUUCCUAUAUGGAACCCCAGAAAUACGACUCAACAGUAUGAUUUAAAGCAGCGGAACGAACAAGACCACGUCUGCAAGUCUUCACUGCAGCACUGUUUUCAUUGGAAAAGUGGAAACAAUCCAGAAUGUUCCACGUUAAGCCCCCAAAUGGUAAUCUUACAACUUGAGAACUCUCCCUGGAAAAGUAAGAGCCCAGAAACUGCUGAGCCUCCCAGUCUCAAUUUCCUUUCCCAGAUUCAUCAAGUAGAGGACGUUGACGUUGACAGAGAAAGACCAAAGGAACUUUUGUGACCUCAUCCAAAUGUCAUAACAAAAGUGGAUUUACUUAUAUAUGGCUGUGUGUCAAGUGUUACUUCAUUUUGUGACCUCUUGAGGAUGCGUCCAGCUCUGAGAUUCUGCGACACUUGAGGUAUAUCUGAAAUUUGCAGGUAAGAGAGAGCCGUUAAAGUUUUCUGAGGAGGACAGCGACCUGAACUAAGUUGUGUUUUACAAACACUGUCCUGGCAGCAAUGUAAAGGAUGAGUCAAGGGAAGAAGUCGAGGGCAGAGAAACCAGUUGUAGGAUUAUCAUGGGACAUUUCCUGAAUGGCUGCUGUGUUGUAGACAUCGUGCUUUACAUACGCAAUCUCAUUUAAUUCUCACAAUAAUGCAUGAUAGCAUGAUUAUUAUUUCCAUUUUAUGGAUGAGGAAACUGAGGCCAAGAGAGGAACCCCACCUUAUCCCACUGUGAAGGAAUCAGAGGAAGAUUAUUUACUUCACUUGAGUCUAGUUGAAUAUUCACCAGGAUUAAUCCAGAUGGGAGAAGGCAGGUCCUGUCUCCUGGUUGGGAGUGGGGUUCUCCGCUUGUCUCCACAUAAAAUUUAAGAGCUAAGGAACGCAAUACUGAAAAAAGGACCAGGGGGAAAAUGAAUUAAUGAAGCCUCCCCAAGCUCUGAGUGAAGAAUACUAUCGAGGCCAUCUGUGGUCUGCCUGCCCAGUGCCCUUCGUCUCCACAGGGUCCAUCUCUUUCUGCGGGAAAAUCACAUCUCCCUGACCCUGAUCUUAUGGUUUGGACGGAGAGGGCACUACCUCCUGGCUCUGGUGGGAACUCAGUUUCAACCAAUAACACCACAUCCCUCCGGUCACAGUAACUAAUUCUGGGGCUGGCCCUUGACCAAUGCCAGAUCAGACAGAGGCAAGCCUGAGCCUCUUGCUCAAAUCCGUGGGAUUGCUAAACUGGCAGCACAUACGCCCAGAGCUUCUGGAAGUCAUCCUGCUACCACAGGAGGGGAGCCUGCCAGAGAAGAAAUCCAACAUAAAGGAAAACAGAGCCAGGGAUGGAUACUAAUUCCUGAUGACACCAUAUGAGUAUCUGGAUCCAGCUGCACUUACAGCCAGAACCACUUGGAUGUUUGUUAUCUAAACAAAUAAGUCUUUUGUUGUUGUUGUUAAGUCAGUAAUAACUUGAAUUCUAAGUAUUCUAUACCCAGAAAGGAAGAAUCUAUCCGUAUACAAAUUUAUAGCCUAGAGAAAUAAAAUGUCAGACUCUUCUGUUAA